CGGACCACUUCUCUGUCUCUUCCUCUCGGUUAACCCUCCGAUCAGCAACCACAAGCUCUUCAGCAAACAUUGAGAUUUAACUCUGUAAAGUUAGUUUUAGGAGACCUCCAGGUGUAACUGUAGAACAUGUUAAGUCUCCUUUUAAAGGGUUUUUUAAUUUCUCCUCUGGGCGGGAUGGAACGAGCGACAGCGCCUGCGCAGGUCCCUCCAUGGCCUCCACGUGGUGUGGCUGCAGAUAGACCAGACUGUAAUGGAGGCGCAGAAACUUGAUGACUUCAACCUGUGAGAUGUUUCUCUAAGCAAUGAUUAAUGGAUCUCCAGGUGGAUUAGAGAGCGGAUUUGAUCAAGGAUGCUGCAGAAGUUCAUCCCUGCACACUCCUUUGGGAUCCCUCCUGAGUGAGAUCAGUCUGCAGCUGUGACCUGAUGUGUCCACAACGGAGCAGCUGAAUGUGACGUCACCUCUCGGUAAGUUUAAAAAAUAAAAGAAGCCUCUGUCCUCUCUGCUGAUUUUUGUGGGAUGAUGAUUUCUUAGACUAGAGUCUCUGACAAAAGCAUGAAGAUGUCUUCACAGUGCACUGACCACAAAGACACACCAGUGAAUGGAUGUUUUAAACUUGAUUCACUGAGAUAAAACUACAGAUCAGUGAUUUUUUUUUUACCAUGUCUGCUUGAGGCAGGCUCCAGAAACACAGGGAGUCACAACUGUUUCACUCUCACUGUAAUCCAUUGUGCUUCCUGUGUGGAACAUUUCUAAUUGUGGGUUUGUGACGUACAGACUCUCCAAUCCAGACUCUGUCACCCUCUGCUGGUCACAUGUUGACUUGAAAUGACAUGCAGGAUUAUGACCUCCAUGAAGGCAGUAAGAUGCAUGAUUGUGCAGCAUGCUGGACAAAGUGUGCUGCCAUGAUUGAUUUUCCAUUCUGGGAAAUGAUUGCAGUAAAUGAGUUUAAAACAUCCAUAAACCUGGUUUGUGAUCGCUGCUCGACGUUUGUCACGUGUUGGUACUAAUUCAUAUCUGGUGUUUGUUUUUUAGCUCGCGCUUGGCUGGAUGGAAAUCAGCAGUGAAAAUAACAGCUGUAAGUACUGAUGUUUAUUUGAAUGUGGGUAGUUGGUGUUAAAAUGUGGAGAUGCAUAAACUGAUCCUGCAGCUCUGGUUUCUGAGUUUGGUCGAUGAUGAUUCAGUUUUCGGUUCGUCUGAUUCUAACUGAAGUUUUA